GGACAAACUUUAUGCAUGAACGACUUCUUUAUUCAGGUUAUGCGACGUUUCGAUAUAGAUUUUUGUAUCGUUGUCAAGCAAGACUUGUUCUUGUA